rnacentral:rRNA from 1 species
UCGAGGAUCUUCGGCAAUGCGCGCAAGCGCGACCGAGCGACGCCGCGUGUGCGACGAAGGCCUUCGGGUUGUAAAGCACUGUCGAGGGGGAGGAAACCCGCAAGGGCUGACCGAUCCCUGGAGGAAGCUCGGGCUAAGUUCGUGCCAGCAGCCGCGGUAAGACGAACCGAGCGAACGUUGUUCGGAAUCACUGGGCUUAAAGGGCGCGUAGGCGGGCUGCCGCGUCCGGGGUGAAAUCCUCCGGCUCAACCGGGGAAGGGCCUCGGGUACGGGCGGCCUCGAGGGGGGUAGGGGCGUGCGGAACUGUGGGUGGAGCGGUGAAAUGCGUUGAUAUCCACAGGAACUCCGGUGGCGAAGGCGGCACGCUGGACCCUCCCUGACGCUGAGGCGCGAAAGCCAGGGGAGCGAACGG